rnacentral:rRNA from 1 species
AACGAACGCUGGCGGCAGGCUUAACACAUGCAAGUCGAGCGCCCCGCAAGGGGAGCGGCAGACGGGUGAGUAACGCGUGGGAACGUACCCUUUGCUACGGAAUAGCUCCGGGAAACUGGAAUUAAUACCGUAUGUGCCCUACGGGGGAAAGAUUUAUCGGCAAAGGAUCGGCCCGCGUUGGAUUAGCUAGUUGGUGGGGUAAUGGCCUACCAAGGCGACGAUCCAAAGCUGGUCUGAGAGGAUGAUCAGCAACAUUGGGACUGAGACACGGCCCAAACUCCUACGGGAGGCAGCAGUGGGGAAUAUUGGACAAUGGGCGCAAGCCUGAUCCAGCCAUGCCGCGUGAGUGAUGAAGGCCUUAGGGUUGUAAAGCUCUUUCACCGGAGAAGAUAAUGACGGUAUCCGGAGAAGAAGCCCCGGCUAACUUCGUGCCAGCAGCCGCAGUAAUAC